UACGUAGGGUGCAAGCGUUGUCCGGAAUUAUUGGGCGUAAAGAGCUCGUAGGCGGUGUGUCGCGUCGGCCGUGAAAACCUGCAGCUUAACUGUGGGCUUGCGGUCGAUACGGGCAUCACUGGAGUUCGGCAGGGGAGACUGGAAUUCCUGGUGUAGCGGUGAAAUGCGUAGAUAUCAGGAGGAACACCGGUGGUGUAGACGGCUCUCUGGACCGUAACUGACGCUGAGGCACGAAAGCGUGGGUAGCAAACAGG
rnacentral:rRNA from 1 species